AAAUUGAAGAGUUUGAUCAUGGCUCAGAUUGAACGCUGGCGGCAGGCCUAACACAUGCAAGUCGAGCGGAAACGAGUUAUCAGAACCUUCGGGGGACGAUAACGGCGUCGAGCGGCGGACGGGUGAGUAAUGCCUAGGAAAUUGCCCUGAUGUGGGGGAUAACCAUUGGAAACGAUGGCUAAUACCGCAUGAUGCCUACGGGCCAAAGAGGGGGACCUUCGGGCCUCUCGCGUCAGGAUAUGCCUAGGUGGGAUUAGCUAGUUGGUGAGGUAAGGGCUCACCAAGGCGACGAUCCCUAGCUGGUCUGAGAGGAUGAUCAGCCACACUGGAACUGAGACACGGUCCAGACUCCUACGGGAGGCAGCAGUGGGGAAUAUUGCACAAUGGGCGCAAGCCUGAUGCAGCCAUGCCGCGUGUGUGAAGAAGGCCUUCGGGUUGUAAAGCACUUUCAGUCGUGAGGAAGGCGGCGUCGUUAAUAGCGGCGU
rnacentral:rRNA from 1 species